rnacentral:rRNA from 1 species
GAUGAACGCUAGCUACAGGCUUAACACAUGCAAGUCGAGGGGAAACGAUAUUGGAAGCUUGCUUCCGAUAGGCGUCGACCGGCGCACGGGUGAGUAACGCGUACCCAACCUGCCCAUCACUUGGGGAUAACCUUGCGAAAGUAAGACUAAUACCCAAUGACGUCUCUAGAAGACAUCUGAAAGAGAUUAAAGAUUUAUCGGUGAUGGAUGGGGAUGCGUCUGAUUAGCUUGUUGGCGGGGUAACGGCCCACCAAGGCGACGAUCAGUAGGGGUUCUGAGAGGAAGGUCCCCCACAUUGGAACUGAGACACGGUCCAAACUCCUACGGGAGGCAGCAGUGAGUAAUAUUGGUCAAUGGGCGAGAGCCUGAACCAGCCAAGUAGCGUGCAGGAAGACGGCCCUAUGGGUUGUAAACUGCUUUUAUAAGGGAAUAAAGUGGGAGUCGUGACUCCUUUUGCAUGUACCUUAUGAAUAAGGACCGGCUAAUUCCGUGCCAGCAGCCGCCGCAG